AGGAACAUAGAAUGCUUGGGAACUCUUUGUGCAUGGUGUCUAUAAUAUCUUCAAGUCCAUCUGAUAGAGUUGCAUUUUUGAAAGGAAGGUUGGACAAGAAAUUAAGUCUUUUUGCCAUAAUUUUGUGAGAUCCUCCAUUUUGUGGCACUAAAGAGCGUCCACAAACAUUGCAAAUGAAAGGCAGCUUGGAAUUGCUUAAAAAGUUCCUCUGCUUCUAAUUUUUAUAAGCAGAAAGAUCACAGACAAUGGUAAUCUCCAAGUUUAACUUAAGCAAGGUAUCUUAAAUUACUUCCCGUAAGAUCCCAAGAUUUUUGGUGCAAUGGAUGCAGUUUCACACCGGUUUUGCUUACUUUGUGUUAUAAGGUGUUAA
rnacentral:lncRNA from 1 species